rnacentral:hammerhead_ribozyme from 1 species
GAACUACUGAGGAGUCCCACGAUAGAACGAAACGGUCGUCCAGUGC